AUUGAACGCUGGCGGCAUGCUUUACACAUGCAAGUCGAACGGCAGCGCGGGCUUCGGCCUGGCGGCGAGUGGCGAACGGGUGAGUAAUGCAUCGGAACGUGCCCAGUAGUGGGGGAUAGCCCGGCGAAAGCCGGAUUAAUACCGCAUACGACCUGAGGGUGAAAGCGGGGGACCGAAAGGCCUCGCGCUAUUGGAGCGGCCGAGGUCGGUUUAGCUAGUUGGUGGGGUAAAGGCUUACCAAGGCGACGAUCCGUAGCUGGUCUGAGAGGACGACCAGCCACACUGGGACUGAGACACGGCCCAGACUCCUACGGGAGGCAGCAGUGGGGAAUUUUGGACAAUGGGGGCAACCCUGAUCCAGCCAUGCCGCGUGCGGGAAGAAGGCCUUCGGGUUGUAAACCGCUUUUGUUCGGGAAGAAAUCCUCUGGGCUAAUACCCCGGGGGGAUGACGGUACCGGAAGAAUAAGCACCGGCUAACUACGUG
rnacentral:rRNA from 1 species